rnacentral:rRNA from 1 species
UACGGAGGGUGCAAACGUUGCUCGGAAUCAUUGGGCGUAAAGCGCGCGUAGGCGGCGAAGCAAGUUGGAUGUGAAAGCCCUGGGCUCAACCUAGGAUGUGCAUACAAAACUGCUUCGCUUGAAUCUCGGAGGGGGUCAGGGAAUUCCCGGUGUAGAGGUGAAAUUCGUAGAUAUCGGGAGGAACACCAGUGGCGAAGGCGCUGACCUGGACGAUGAUUGACGCUGAGGCGCGGAAGCGUGGGGAGCAAACAGG